rnacentral:lncRNA from 1 species
AUCAAUUUAACUGUCAAUCAGUCCAUUUUUGAGUUACUAAAUUUUCUAAACUGUUUGCUUUGUAAAAUCCCAUUAAACCAACUGAACUACUGAUUGUUAGAAAGAACCGUUCAAAUCAAUGAUACUUUGAGUCCCAAUUACUUUACUUAUGUCUACUUUUAAUUUUAAUAUUUUUUUAUUUUAAUAUUUAUAAAAUAAUUAUGUCGUUACGGCUUAAUUCUAAUUCGCCCGUCCCUUUUUCAUAGACCUAUCUAUCAUCUAUUAGCAACUUCAAGAGAAAUAAAGGCCCAUUGAGCUUUUGAAUCAGCAAUUGACCAGUUGUGGUCCCAAUAUUUAUUUUUGAAAAACAUUGCUAGCCUCCACGUGGCCAAAUGGCAACACCACUGCUCCUGUAAAAAACCAACCAUCAAUGCUAUAGCAAAGCAAUGACCAACCAUCCAUCUAAAUUUAUAUCCAACAACAUAAAACCAUGGCAACGGUCAAAGGCGAUGCCACGUGGCAGCCUGCAAUAGGUGCCAAUCAUGAUUACACAAAUGAUUUAAUGAAUAUGUAAUAAUAAUUAAACAAUGAAACAAACUACUGCCAAAAGGGAAAAAAGAAGAAGCUAGAGAGAGAUGUAUAGCCAUCUUGGAAUAAGAAACAGAUAACAUGAUUUAAAAGGGUAGCUUUUUUGUUUGUCUUCAAUUUUAUGAGAUUUAUUUAGUUUAUAGUUGAUAAUGAACACGUCCUUCUGAUGAGAUGGAGCCACGUCGCUUCUUUGAUUAUGAUAUUAUUAACCCCGUUAUUAAUCUUAAUAUUCGAAUCAUGAGGACUUUCGAGAAUCCUGUGUUUCAUGCAGGACCAAGCAUGUGGAAGUACACUAUCACUUCGUGAGAGAGAAGGUAACUUCAAGGAGAGAAAUACAGAUGUGCCACGUUGAAACUGAGAACCACGUUGCAGACAUAUUCACUAAAGGACGAGCAAUGCUAAGUUCAGCGAGUUCAGAAGCAACUUGGCAUGAAUGAGUAAAACAGAGAUAAGAGAGUUGGUGCUGAGGGAGGGUGUUGAAAGAUCAAUCACCACCUCUCUUGAAUUUUUCAUAGUCUUCCGGAAGACACUAGAAUCUUCUGGAUAUUUUUAGAAAUAUCUAGAUUACUUUAGAAUCUUUCGAAAUCUUCUAAACUUUACUAGAGUCUUCCGGAUACUUGCAAAAUAAUAUGGACUAUACUAGAUCCUUCUGGAAGGUACUAGAAUAUUCUGAAAUAUGAAGGAAGCUUAUGAAUUUCACUAGAAGCAUCUAGAAGCAUGGAAUGGUGUGUGCUUCUAGAAUUAUCCAUUAGUCCCUAUAAUAGGGAUGGAGUCUUCAUUUUGUGAUAUAUAGAUGCAUGCAAGAGAAAAUAAGGAAGAGUGGUCCCAAGUACUAAGAGUGUGUGUCUAAAGUUAAAAUGUCUUCCUAAAUUGUGAGUGUAUUAUCUCUUGUGUGAGAGUCAUCUCUUAUGAGUGAUAGUGUGUGUUGUUGUAUAUAAGUUAAGUAUAUAAGUAUUUGUAAUCAAUAAAAUUAUUGUUGAUUGUUGUGUUCGAACUCUUCACAAUGACAAUCUUCAUCGUCUUCACUAUUAACAUUUUUCAAAUCUCUAGAACAGUUGCUAAAUCAAACCCUAUAACUAGUGCGUGCUAAGACCACAUAGAUAGGUGAUGUUAAGAGCUUGUUCCAAGUCAAUCAAAAAGUACCUCCAAAGCAGUAUAUGAGCCCGGACAUCCUCUUCUCCACUUAUAGUCAAUUGAUUUUGAAUUAAAUGCUUUAACAUGCCGCUUUGGAUGUUUCAAGCAAGACUCUAUUUUGUUAGUGAUUGAUUACCCCUUUUUUGUGCCAAAAGUGCACCUGGUUUAAUCGUGAUCCUUAAUUCUAUGAAUUCAUGGUUUCUAUCUUCACGCAUGAGUUGGGGUCUCACGUGCGGGGAGGUGUUAAGAGCUUGUCCCAUAUCAUUCAAGUAGUCUCCUCCAAAACUAAUAAAUGAGCGUGAGCUGCCUUUCUAGUCUCCACCCAUUGCCAUUUGUUUAGGGUUGGAUGCUUUAACUGGUGAUAUCCAACUAUAUUGAUGAAAAUGAUGUCUCUUGUUAUUACAGUAGGAUGACUGGGUACUAUGUCGAGUUGAAAAAAGGCAACAAGUCAAAGAAUGUAUGGGAAGCACGAGACAGUCCCAGCAAGGAAUCGGCGGGUACUUCCCCGACAUUGUGGAGCUCCCUUCUGCACAAGAAUACUCAAGCACAAAUGCUAUCACAGAUUAUAGAUUAAGAGGUUGCCAAAUAAUAGCUUCCAUUCUCACUGGCCAACUUCUUUCUCACAUCGAAAGCAUUUCAAGUGAAAUCUUCCGAAACAGUAAUGAUGGCAGCCAAGUGGGUCACAUUAUGAAGAUGGUUCAGACACAGGAAAUUCUCCACUUGCAGAUUCUUUCUUUGAUACCAUUUUCAAUGCACCAAGGGGAAGAUUCAACGAGGGGACUAGGUACGAGAAUCUCCUUCCAUCCACCAUAAUGGUGACCAACAACAAAGAGGGUGCAGACCGCCUACCAGGCAACAUAGUAACUACCGUGCGUGUUGUUUAUUUUAUCAAUUUAUUUUAAUUCCUAAGCGUAGGAACAUAAUAUUUAGAAGUAUCGAUGUUAUUUUCACAGAGAGCUUGAAUUGCAAAAUUGAGUUUUGUUGCAAGUAUAUAAAUUAUAAAAAUAUGUUUUUUUGAUUUUUGAAAGACUGUGUGAAUAAAAAAUAAACUACAAAUGUAAAAAUGGCAUGGUUCAAGUAGCUAAUCUUCUCUUAGCUUAAAUGUUCUAAUUUCUUCUUUUUCAUAAACUCAACAAAAUUUAAAGACACAAUGAUAUUGGUUGAAUAAUUUUGCAAUGAAAAUAAGUUUUAUAUUUAAAGAAGUGUUUACGAAAUUGGUAAUGAAUUCAUAUACUAUUUCAAACACUUAGUAUGCAAUAGAUCCACGCAUUACUUGUACCUAGUAAUCUUGUUGACAAAUAAUUAAAUAUAUGUGCAACUUUUAGUUUUGAUCUUGAAAAUACCAUUAAUCAAUUCUAAACAACUAUUGAAACCAUUUUGAAAGAGAGAAAAAACUAAUUCAAAUUAAGGUUUGGAAGGGGACAUAGUCCUUGAACCAAGUCAAUAUAUUUAGCCCUUCAGGUUAGAGGGUUCAAUCAUGUAUGAAAGAUAAACUAAGAAGCUAAAAAACUUGACAUAAAUUGAAGGAAUAACUGAAAAUAUAAUAGCAUAAAUGGAAUUCAAGCAUUUAAAAUAAAUAAACUUACACCCAUUUAAUAGUGAAGUUUCAAGGAAUUUCAAGUCUUGAAAUAAAAAUAAGAUAUUCUUCCUUUCUCUCCACACUCUCUCUAGGUGUAGACUAAAAACUACUCCUAAAUUAAGAGAAAAUAAAAGUGAAAAAAUCCUCCAACUAAGGAGAGAAAAAAACCUCACUAAGAAGUUUGAACCUUUUUAAAGGCCAAGAAAACUCCUAAAGCUUCCAAAAAUAUGCUUGUACCAACAAGCUACCUCUAACUUUGUCCAAAAGCUACAUCUAACUUUGUUCAAAAAGUUACAUCUAACUUUGUUCAAAAAGUUAUCUCUAACUUUAUCCAACCACCCUCUUUUGGGCCAACCACUCUCACUCUUAAACCAACAAACUACCUCUUACUGUCUUACAUUGACUUGAAAUGAGUGAGUUUGAUAGGACCAAAUGGCAGGAAAAAAGCAUGAUGCACAAUUGUGCACUAUCAUCCUUUUCAACCGAUUGAGACAAUUCAUCAACCGAUUAAACUUUAAAGUUGGGUGUUUCUACUGCUUCUGAUGAACUGAUAGAAGCUUCUAAUUUAACCGGUUAAAAUUUAAAAAUUUGCAACUCUUUCACUCCAAAUCAUCUAUUCCAUGUUAGCUUUCAGGGGCUCCAUAAGUCUCCUGUGACUUCACAGGGAGACUUAUACAGUAAUGAAGCAACUUUCCACAUAAGGUCAUGGUUAUAAUCAAUUCAAUGGAGGUGUCAACAGGCUCAAAAUCCAAGCUGCCAAAAGCAUAUAUACUAAAUAAGACGAUCGUCACACGAUUCGUUGCACAAUCAUGGUAAUGGCGGAUGGCGGUCAGUAAUCAGUAUUAAGUCAAAUAUCUACUGUUGUACUAGUUGUUGUAUAAUAUGCAGCAGGAGCUAUCUCAACAGUAGAACUAUAUUUCUGUUCAGAACAACAUUUGGUUAUUUGCAUAAGCUCAUGAAGUGAGACAAAAUUAUUUAUUAACUAAAUAAAAUAGGAAGUAAAUGCAAAAAAAUAACAAGAGUGUUCGGGAACUAAUGGAUACUUCUUUAAGAUAAAAUUCAGUUUUACUAAAAUAGCGCAAUGGAAAAGCUAUGUUUGGAUCUUAGGUGAAAUAAAAUAAAAGGAAAGAGUAGAAAAAGAAAAUGACAUUAUAGAAACUGAAUUAUUUUCUUUUUCCCGGUUGGAUUAGAAAAAUGAGAAAAAAGGACUUUUAAUUAAAAAAAAUCCAAUUUUUUGUUUGGCUAUUCAUGAUUAAAAUCCUUUAUUGUUCUUUGGUUAUUUAUAAUUACUUGAAUAAUGUAGGAAUACAUUUAUUUAUAUAAGCAACUUCAUUUCACUUGCAUCAUUUUCCCUUCACUUGGAAAAUUAAAGAUCCAAACAUAGCGUUAUCGUGUCUCAAAAGCUUACAAUUUGGUGGAAAAAAAAAACAGAAAAAAAACAUCUUAACACUAAAAAUAAUCUAAAGACUAGGAUUUUUGUUAUUUUGACAAUCAUCCACUUUUGUAAAAUCACUUCUGGUAUUAAAUCGCUAGUUGUCUCAAAAACUUAAGCAGGUAGGUAAUAGGUCCAAUAAUACACAUCAAGAUAUCCAACACCCUCUAUCACACAAACUGGAAUAAAUACAAACAAAAAAACUUGAACCCAAUUUCUAUAAAAAACCAAAACCUUGAAUUUAGGUCACAAUGAAAUGGGUCCAACAAUGUAUAAACCUAUCUAACAUUUUGCCUCAAACUCCUUGUCCCCCUACUCUCCCAACUAUGCCUCGAGAGUUGAGUUCAAGAUUACCACCACAUCGUGUCGUUGGGAGUGCAUUGAGAUAUGAGACCAGAAGUUUUGGGGACAGAUGAUCCUGGAAAUUGACGGAAGCUUCACCACAACAAGCGAUAGCUUAAACUAGUAUAUAACCUUUAACACUCUUACCAACAACCUUUCCAACACGAACACGAACACUAACACCAUCCCCUCUUUCUCCAGGGAGAGGAAAAUAAAUUAGUUUAGAAGAAAUGAAAAAAACGGAUGAGACCAAAACCCAAUACACAUCGAAUUAUGAUCGACAGAGACAUUGUUCAUUAAAAUGAUUCAAGAUGCUAUAGGAAGCCAAUUAGUGGAAAAGAGGAGUCUGCCAAGAACCUUAAAUGACUAAAUAUUGGUGCACCAGACAGCCUACUUGAUUAGGUUGCAAUUCAAACUAUUGUCAACAAGAAAGAGUAACUCUAUAAAAUUCUCUUAGGUAACAAACCACGAAUAAUGUAGUACAAGAUCCCAUAUACUACAGCACAUAUUCUUACCAUCUAGGUCAAACAAAGAUAAAUCAUACAUUGAGCUGACAUUGUGGUUUAUGGUUUGUCCACAAAGACAAAAACUUUAGUUUUGAAACAUCUCCUGAGACUACCAACCCAACAUGGUACUAAGGCCCUCUGAAGAGAACGACAUAUUCAGGCAGUUAAGUUCAGAAACUGUUUAAUAUGAGAAUGAAGAACACUUUAAAAGGAUGCAAACAAAGAAACUUAAAUUCCAUUACCAAAGGUAACCAAAAUUGUGUAAUUCUGAAUGACAGGAAAAGGAUACUCGAAAUUAUCCCUGGCCCAUAAGCUCUUAUAUCAAGCCAGUCAUGAAGUGACACAAUAUGGUUUGAUGUAACAAAACCAUCAUUCAAGGAAAACAUGGCGUCAAGUUAACUACGACCCAAGAUAAAACAGUUACACAGCAACAAUCCACAAAAGCAAUAUGAUAGCAACACAAAUGGCGUCUUAUCGCACCGUAUAUCAAGACAACUUGGUGUCUUAACGUUUGACUGGAUGAUGAAUAACACCAGGACAAUAAUGUCACCGAGAAAAAUGAUAUUUUCAGAAAAUUAUUAGAACAUAUAUCAAGGUCACACGAUAACAGCAAUGCAAUAAGGCAAUCAUCAACAGUCCAUCAUCAAGGAAACUAGCUACCUGAGGACUAAUUAGUUCUCCAAUAAUGCAGCAAUUUCGUUUGAAACAGAACUGAAAUUUAGCUCUUACCAGGACGGAGAAUAAGGAAAAAAGUAUGUAUCAACAUGACAAGAUUACUUGCAUAUCCUUAGGCAACAGUUAGCCAAGGCAACGUUGGAACAACUAACAACCAUCCCUAGGCAGCAUGUAAAAUCUUUUAGCCCCACUUGAACGUAUGCUUGAACAAUAUGGUUCCAUCGAACCUUUACACCAUUAAUAGAGGCUCCUAUAUACCAAGGAAACUUGAUAUUAAGUUCAUAAUCAUAAUUAUGUGACACUGUAAAAUUCCCCCAAAUGGUAGUUUCCAUAAUUAUAGCAAACACGAAUCGCAAGACCAGGGAAUUAGCCAAAUUCCUAUCUAGCAAGAUAAUAGCUUCUACAUAUCAAGACAAGCAUGUACUGAGCCAUGUGCUGACUUGAACAUUGUAAAGGAAAAUGAUUUAGAAACAGCAUAUGUGUAAAAAUAACUCGUCUAGAUCGAUGGGCAAUGGCACUUUCAAAAUUAUGAGUCAUAGUGGUGGACCUGUGGUUAUUUUGGUUUGAAACGAGAUCACCACGAAAGGCCAUGCUAUUCAAUAUAAGAAUUCCAUAUGAAAAAUCCGGCUUAUUGUUAGCUUACCGCAGACAACAAAUAAUGCCAAAAUAAUUGCAAUGGAACCACACACAAGAAAAUAUAGAGAAAUUUAAAUAUUACUAGCUAUACUGUUAGAAAUUUUGUGUGAAUGAAAGCUAAAGAGGAAUGGUUUAAAACUCCUAAAGGAGUUAUUAUAGAACCAAAUUGCAUCUUUCUUACAGCCCAAUGAUGCUUUAUCUGGGCCAUGACCAGCUCUAAUGGUUGUCAUGGUGAAUUCACAAGCACCUAUGAUGAGGGUUAUGACAACAGAAUUAUAAUGAUUAAAAUAGAGCAUUUGUUUGGCUUAAUGCUGAGGUUUAGCAAUGAAGGAAAAACACACCAAUACAAACACCAACAGAAACAAACACACCAUACAUUUGAGUUCUUUGAGAGAGAGAGAGACAGAUUAACAGUUUAGUUCGCCAAGUACUUUGGAAGGUGUUCCAAAGUUAGUGGUUCUAGCCGUUUUAUCCUGGGAGGAAGAUGCGACAGCACCUACAACACCCUCGGUAGGCGGCGAAUCUUUCUUAGGGAGAUGCGAUUGCAGGACUCGGUUUACUCUGUUUGUAUCUCUAUAUUUCAGUUUCUGAAAUUAAAUUCCUGUAAUUUAAUGUGAUUAAUUGGAAAAUUAUUCUUGAAAUUCUGUAUUGGCCGAAUCAAUUUUUUCCAACACUCUUAAGAAAGAUCCUUUUUUGAUCUUGCGAUAGGCAAUCGAAUUUCAAAAAUGAUUCUGUUCAGUUCUAUGUGGAGAUGCAGAUCUAUACAUGUAGAAAGUGAGAAAAAAAAAAUAAAAAAUAAAAAAAAUUAAACAGUCUGUUUUGAAAGGAAAAAAAAAAUAAUUUCCAUUUACAGAAAUUGAUUUUGAUUAUUGCGGAAACCACAGAUUUUAGUUAAUUUUUUUUUAGAAUACUAGUUUCUCUAUAUUUUUUUAAGAGAAAAAAAAGGGAUUCAACUUCACCGGAAAAACACUUCGGUCGGCAUGGGGUUGUCGAACUCCGGCGAGAUGAAAUGGUAUCGACGUGUGAAGAAAAAAAAAAUUAUAUAGACAGAGAGAGGUCUCUCGUUAUGUAGAAGAAAGAAAGGAAUGAGAGCAAGAGAAAGAAGUUGAGGAUAGAAAGGAAGGAAAAAGGAAAUGAAUCAGAGGAAAGAGGAGAGAGGAGAAAAGAAGUGAAAGAGGAAGGAGAGAGUAUAAAUAAAUACUGCGAAUAUAAUAUUAUAUUUAAAUAUAAUAUUAUAAAAGCAAAAGCAGGCAGAUGGGGCAGUUUGUUCUUUUAAAAGCAAAGCAUGCGUAUGGGGACAUGUUUUUUUUUUUUUUAAUAAUAUAUAUCUUAGUAUAUAUUAUAAUAUAUAGGGAGACAAGAGAGUGACAAAAAGAGAAAUAUUAAUGAAUAUAUAUUAAAGUAAAGAAAAAAAAAUGUGCAUGUUCGAAGUGAUAGUAGAAGUAUAUUAUAUAAAUAAAUAUAUAAUAAUAUAUAUAUAUAUUUAUAAUUAAAAAAAAAUGCACGCGCAAGAGCUCAUGACAAAUGUUCUUGUAAAUUAUAUUAAUAAAUAGAUUAUAUAUAUAUAUUUAUAAUUAAAAAAAAAUGCAGGCGCAAGAGCUCUGAAAAAUGAAUGUAUAAUUAUAGUUUAACCUUUAUAUGUAUUGUAAAAAAAUUAGAUUUUCACCCAGUAUUUGCAAAAGUAUUAUUUUAGCUCUAAAUUUCUUUAAUUACAAGUUUUAAUUCAAAAUAAGUUGUAAUUAUUAUUUUAACCACAGAAGUUUAAAUAAUUACAGAUAAACCCAAUAUGUACGCCACUUAUAUAUAUAUAUAUAAUUUUUGUUUUUAUUUAAAAAAAACAUAACAAAAAUUAUUAUUAUUUUUCAUAGUUGGUAAUUGACAGAUUUACUAAAUUUUGGAAAAAAUUACAUCUAUAUCCAGAUUUUAUGAAACUUAUAAAUUGGCAAAGUGUGGAAAUUAUAAUUUUAUAAACCAUAUUUUGGUCAACCGUACGCGGUUGACUUGGAUCAGAGUUGAUAGGCUACGGCCUUAGGCAGCUGUGUGGGCUGACUUUGUGAACAAGGCGGUUGAAGCUUUUGUUCAUAUUGGACGGUUGGAGGUUUUUCGAACCGAUUAGAGUUGGCCAUUGCAUACCGUUUCGGGUUUUCAAGGGUCAAUCUCUCAGCUAGGGCGUUGCCUCUCAAAAACACUUGAGUAUAAAAUUGUAUACCAUUUAGGUGAUUAUUGUUUAGAUUGUUAAUUAUUCUAUUGCGAUAUUGUGAGGAUCUAUGCAACUUUAUAUGUGGUUGAUCUUUUUCAGAUAAGAAAAAAAAAAACUCGAAAACAUGGCGACUAAUGCUGUUGAAACAAGCACUCAAGUUGCAGUUUCUGGGAGAACUGCGGCUCGAACCCCUGGUGUUCACAACGAUCCCGAUGGCUCAUGGUGGAAAACCAAGAAAAGUUUGGUGGGGCUGAUUUCAAGACGAUGGCAACGAAGAUGAUGUUUUAUCUUACGUGCUAAAUCUCGCUGGAUGCUUAAUGAAGAAGCUCAGUUGUACUGAAAAGAGACGGAUACGUCAGCAGGUGAUUGCGAGAGAUCACUGAAAAAUGUGAUUAUCUAGGCAAGAAUUAUAUUCUCAAUGCCCUGGAGGAUUUCUUUGAUAAUCGGUGUACAACGGAUCUUAAUCUUCUAAAGGGUUGUGGGAGUCCUUAGACCUGAAAUACAAGAUCGAGGAGCCGGUUCUAAGAAAUUUAUUGUUGGCCGGUUUUUAGACUAUGUUUAUGCUGGACAGAGAUCGGUAAACGGCUCAGUUCCAGGCUGCUCCAGGUUCUCAUAAAUGAAUCAAAGCAGAAGGAUGCUAUUGAGGAAGCAUUUUCUUUUUUGGGAGGGGGGGUUGGGGGGCGGAAGGGGGGGGGGGGGGGGGGGGAGGUGUGGGGGGGGGGGGGGGGGUGCGACGGGUGGGGGGGGGGGGGAGUGGUUUUUUUUUUUUUUUUAGUGGCUGCAGUCAUCCACAAGCUCCCAAAGAUAUGGAAAGAGUUCAAGAGCUAUCUCAUGUUUCAAAAAUAAGGAGCUGACCUUGGAGGCUCUUUUCUCAAGCUACAUGUUGAGGAGAAAAACAGGGCAAGAAACAAGGUGCCAACCCUUCUAUUGGCCAAGCUACACAUAAUGAGCAUGGUCAGUCUCGAAGACGAAGAAGUCUUUUCAAGGACAAGUGGUCAAAUGAACCAGAAAGGCAAGAGUAUGUCAAACGGGACCAAAGGGCGAUUACAAAGAAGGCCCAUGGAAAAGUGUUAGGGUACAUGCUUCCCACUGUAACAAGUUUGGCAUCGUGCUUCAUGAGUGAAGAAAACCAAUGCAACCUCGAGUUAAUGCAAUAUGACGAAGGUCAUCACGGAGGGUGUAGAUGAUAUCAACCUCUCAAGCAUUUUUUCUGAAGUGCAACCAUGGUGGGGUCAAACCCCCAAGAAUGAUGGAUAGAUCACGGGGCUACCGACCAUGUCUGUUGCGAUAGACGUAGGUUCACUACCUUCGAGCAGCCAGCAAAUGGUGAACCGGUUUAUGAAAAAUUCAGCCACCUCCGACGUUGCGGGGAGUGGAAAGAAUUGAAAAGUGUUCGAAAAUGACUUCAGGAAAAGAGCUGAAUCUGAACAAUGUGUUAUCUCGGCCUGAAAUCCGGAAGAAUAUAGUGUCUGGCUAUCUGUUGAGCAAACCAUUUUUGGGGGUUUGAUUCGUAUGGUUUGUGAGGCAAAUAGAGUUACUCUGUCAAAAGGCUUGGGGAAUGUAUGUAGGUAGGGAAAUGUUAUAUGAUUGAUGGAUCUAUUCAAAAUGAAUGUAAUGACUGUAAUCCCUACAAUUAAUAAGAAAAAUUUCCCAGUGUUUAUGUGCUGGAGCGUCCAUUUUGUGGUAUGGCAGAAAUAGCGCCAUGUAACUUAUGAUGCUAUUUACGUAGACUAAUUAACUUUGCGACCCAUUCCAACAUUUCACAAUUGAUAAAAAGCACAAGUGUGAGACUGGUUGAAGCAAAGUUACUAGGUCUUCAUUUCCUCGAUGAAAGAGAGUACGAACCAUUGGGGUUAAUUUCCAAAUUAUGUGUGUGAUUUGAAGUAUGUUGCGAGAAAACACCCAAUGCUAACAAGUAUUUCAUUACAUUCAUUGAUGAUUGUAUGAAAUGACUGAUUUUGUGUGUACUUGCUAAGAAGCAAGGAUGAAGCUUUGGACAAAUUCAUUCUUUAUAGAAUAAAGUAGAAAAUCAAUUAGCAAGAAGAUUAAAGUUUGCCGAAGUGAACGAGAGUGGUGAAUAUGACUCCAACGUUGUUGGAUACUAUGGAGAAACGGACUUAUCUGAUCAAACGACUGCAUCUUAUUCUCCUCAACAGAAUGGAACUGCUGAACGAAAAGAUCGUACCCUAAAAGAUAUGAUGAAUGCUAUGUUGAUAAGUAUUCUGGAUUGCCUCAGAACAUGUGGGGUGGUGAGCGAUUCUCACUGCCAACUAUAUCUGAAAUAGUGCCUCGCAAGAAGUUGGAUAAAUCCACGUAUGAGUUAUUUAAACGGAGGAGUCCACUCGACUUUUACGUAUGUGGGGAUGUCUUGCGAAGGGUGGGCCAUACCUCCUCCUAAAAAGGAAAAGAUUGGUCCCCAAAAAUGUUGUGCUUGAUGGUGUAUUCACGGUUAUGCCACAACACAGUAGUGCCAUAUCGGUUUCUUGUGUAUGAGUCUGUAAUACCAGAUAUCAUCAAGCAUACCAUACAUGGAGGAUAGGAAUGCGUCAUUCUUUGAACACAUUUUUUUUAAUUUUUCCAUAUAGAUCCAUUGGUGAGUCAAGUUCAGUGGAAACGGAAUCUGGCAUCCUACUAAUGACGCAGCAAGACCAAAAAGAUGGAAUUUGAAAUAAAAUUGCAGACGUAGCAAGAGAAUAGAAUGUCAACAUCUUUUGGUCCAGAUUUCCUAACUUAUAUGUUAAAAAUGAGCCUCAGACAUACAAGGAAGCAGUGAGUUGUCCUUGAAGGUCCAUUGUUGGAAAGAGGCUAUAAGAGAUGAGAUUGAAUCUAUUCUUCAAAAUCAUACGUGGGAACGGCGAUAGUUUACCGCCAGGCAGUAAGCCUUUGGGGAUACAAAAGGGAUCGAUUUAAGAGAAAGAUGAAAGCCGAUGGAUCCAAUAGAUAAGUACAAAGCUAGACGCUUGUUAUCAAAGGCUAUAGACAAAACAGAAGGUCGAGACUACUUUGAUACUUAUUCACGCAAGUCUAUAGAAUUACAUAUUAGGGAUGAUAAUUGCUGGAUCGCAAGCUUUGCGAAAUCUCGAGAUACAUAAGAGGUGCUAAAACGGACUUCCUGAAUGAGAUUUAGAUGAAGAACUCUACAUGAACAACCUGAGGGUUUUUCACGCACUUGGAAAGAAGGGAAAGUCUGAUAGACUGUAGUCAUUGUAUGGUAUCACAGCAAGCACGAAACAAUGGGCAUAAGAAGUUUGACAAAAUGUUGUAUUGUCUAGUGGCUUUCCAAAAUCAACGAAUGUGAUAAAUGUGUAUAUGCAAGGACACAGACGAAGGGUUAUGUUAUUGUGGUCUUACACUGAUGCAUGAUCAUGUUGGUAGUAACGAUAAAGUUAUCAAAUCAUACAAAGACCUUAAAUUUUCGAAAUUGAUAAGAAGGAUAGGGAAUAGCCAGAUGUGAUUCUGGGUAUGAAAUUACCAGAAUAUCUGACGGAAUUGCAAUUUCUCAGGACACACUAUAUUGAUAAAAUUUUCACCCAAAAAUUCAAUAAAGUCUGUACGAAUGUGGCAAGUACUCUUAUAGAUGUAAAUCUCCACUUAUCUAGAAUGGGGGGAAGAUGACUCCCAAUUGGGAGUAUUCUCGUAACAAUUGGAAGUUUAAUGUAAUUGAUGAGUUGUACAAGACCCGAUAUCGCCUACUCAUUGAGCAGACUGAGCAGGUAGCACAAGUAAUCUAGGAAGUGAUCACCUGGAAGGCGAUAGUAAGGGUUGCUACGCUAUUUAAGAUAUAUCGUGGUUUUGGACUGCAUUACACUAGAUUUCCCCCCACCAAAAGUGCUAGAAGGGUAUUUGCGAUACAAAUUUGAUAUCAGAUAUGAAAUACUCGAAAUCCCACGAGUUGGAUAUGUCUUCAUGCUUGGGUGGUGCAGCGUGUCUUGGAAAUCUUCUAACUAAACAGACGUGCAUUGCACGUUCUACUAUGGAAUCAGAGUUUAUUGGCUCUCAAUACGGCGGCUGAGGAGGCAGUGGCUAAGCCAGUUUUUGGAAGAUAUCAAGUGGUUGAAACCUGUGUCUUCUGUGCUAUUAACCAUCCACUGCGAUAGUCAGUCUGUCGAUUGGGUAUGGCACAACGUAAUAAUGUAAUAAUGUAAGUCUAUACAUAUUCGUCGUAGACAUAAUACCAUUAGACCACUACUCUCAAUUGGGGUUGUCGCUAUUGAACUACGUGAGGUCAAAUGACAAUAUUGUGGGAUCCACGACUAAAGGGUUACCUGGAUGAGUUCUUUUGAUCUAGCAUCGAAAGAAUGGGGUUUAAGCCUAUGAAAGAGAAAGAUAUCGUAAGGAAAACCCAACCUAGGCUGACUGGAGAUCCCAAAUCUAGGUUCCAAUGGGACAACCUACUUUGCGUAUAUCUAAAGAAUCACUGUGGGUUGAAAACUCUACCUGUGCCUAUCAUGCAAUAAGUGAUUGUGGAUAAGUUAAGCAGUAGCUUUUUAAUGACUCUUUGGGUACUGGUGGCCAGGACUGGAUAUUAGUGAAAGUUCAUAUAAGAAGUCACCUAUGUGAGGUAUGUGAAGUGGGGUCCUUCUUUGAAAAUUUUGAGAUGCGAAAUUUUCAAGAAAAUACUUGCAGAACCAGGAAGAGUGUUUCCAUGGCCGAAAUGGACACAACAGUGAGAACUAAAACUGCGUCAAGAGAAUUCCCCUGUGUGACCGUCUUUUGUCUCAAUUUACACCUGCGGCGGUCAACAGUUCAAGGCGGGCUCGCCCACUUGGUCUGCUAUUACAUUCGAUAGGCUCUUCACAAGGAAAGUUCAAGGCCAGAGAGCUACCUACCUCUGCAGGAUCAUCUGUUGUCUCUCUCUGCAAGUCUACAUUAGUCCGCAUGAAAUUUUCAUUCAUGGGGGGAUUGUUAGAAAUUUUGUGUGAUGAAAACCAUAAGAGGAAUGGUUUUUAACACACUCCCUAAAAAGAGUUUAUUAUAGAACCAAAUUGCAUCUUCUUUAACAGCCCUAAUGGCUACUUUAAUCUUGUCAUUACAGCCUCUAACGGCUGUCAUGGUGAAUCACAAGCACCUCGUGAUGAUGGUUAAUGUCCCACUAGAAUUAUAAUGAUUAAAAUAGAGGCAUUUGUUUUUUGGCUAUAACUGCUGAGGUUUAGCAUCUGAAGAAAAACACACCAAUACAAACACCAAUAGAAACAAACACACCAUACUUUGAGUUCUUUGAGAGGAGAGAGACAGAUACAGUUGAGUUCGGCCAGGCGCGUGGAGGUGUUCCAAAGUAGUGGUGUCUAACCGUUUUUCCUUGUGGGGGAAAAGAUGAUACUCGAUAGACCCUACAACCCCUCGUAGCGGCGAAUCUUUCUUCAGGAGACUGCGUGCAGACUCGGCUUCUCUGUUUGUAUCUUUAUAUUUUCAGUUUUCUGUAAUUUAAAUUCUAUAUUUUAAUUGAUUAAUGAAAUUAUUUUUGAAAUUCCUUGUAUUGGCCGAAUCAAUUUUUUCCAACAUUUACAUCAAGCACCUAUGAAUUGGUUGAUUUACGCAUAACAUUGAGGCUCUCCAGUACUAAAAUGUCGCUAUAGAUCAACUACCCAUUAACAAGAAAAUAUGGUUCAAAUCCUCCAUAACAUAUGUUAAAGCAAUAAAUUUAUCAGCGUUCAUCCGAUUGCAAUCGAAAAUCACAAUUAGCACGACACAUGGCAAAUAACAAUGAAUCCAAGUCAAUUAAAGAAUAUUAAAUCAAAUCGAACAGAAAUGUGAUCAAGAGAGCUUCGCGAUCAAAAAAGGAAAUUCAUUGGACUAAAUGAAGUAAACGAAAUUCAAAUUCAUCACGAAAACCAGAGAAAUAUAUAGAUCCAAAAUUCGUGGGGGUUUCCAAUUACCGAUCGCAAAGAAACGAAUUCUUCCGAUUGAGAUGAGGGAGAAAUCAAGCGUCGGGACUGGAUUUGUAGCGGUAGAGCUUACCGAAGACGUGGAGAGCGGUGAAGAAGCCGAUGAAUGAGAGGCUUAUUACGAGAACCACGGUGAGGCUGAUCUUCGGCCACGAAGCGUCGUCCGUGUAGAACCUCAGCACGUUGCUUCACCGCCUCCGCCUCAUCCUGGCGGUUGCCGCUGCGGAACCGCGGGGGGCGGGGCGGGAGGAGGUUGAUGCUUGGGAUUGGGAUGAACCUUUCGCCAUUGUUUAGAAGUGCGGACUUGGCGAGGUGAGAGAGAGGGGGUAGUAGAACUGUAAUUCUUGGGCAGUUUGUGGUGCUAUUCAAUGAACUCUUACAUUGCGGUAGCUACCAUUUCCUUAGAUUUUAGUUGAGUUGGAUCAUGGGGGUCAAGGAUCCUGUCUUAAUAUUUCUGUCCCCGCCAUCUGUCCCCGCCACCUGUUUCAGUGCUAAAUAGUUGACACGUGUCUUUUUAUAAUUUAUAAAGAAAUAUUAUGUAAUUAUAUUAAUUACAAAAUAACACGUGUCAACCAUUUAGCACUGCGGCAGAAAGCUGGGACAGAAAUAUUAGGAUGGGGAUUCUGGCCCCAUGAUCCCUCGUUAUGAAGUCUGGAUCUAUAACGGCUUUUGGCUUGAGCUAGUCAUUGGACGCCAUCAAGUUUAUGGUUUCGUAAACUAAAACAUCACAAACAUGGAUGCCAGGAAUGGAAUUUAACAAACUUGGAAUCUAUGAAAUGGGGGUAAAAAUAUGGAUCAAUUUGGUUAUUUAAUUGUUAUAUAUGAUCAAUUUGGUUAUUUAACAAAUAUAAUGGAAUUAAAUUUUUAAAAAUGCCCCAAUUAUAAUAAAAGGUACCGUAUAAGUAUCAAUACUCAUACAUGUACGAAUCGUUUAUACCAAAUAAGGUAAAAAAUUGUAAAAGAGGGAACACAGGUUUUUGAAAGUAGGGUGUUGGCCGGAAAAUCGAUCACACCAAGUCACACAAAUCAAGAUAACUCAGACACACUAACACAAUUGAUUACGAGGUCGCAAGAUGCCUACGUCCUCGGGUGACAGAGUUUCACUAUUUAUGGAAGAAAACCGAUUACAUCUCAGUUUCCUCUCUCAAACAGACAAGAGAGAAGAAAUAAACCAAAUAAACUAAACUACGCUUCUAUCUCCUUCUCCUAUAUCUGAGCCUUGUAUGUCUUUUUAUAGCAAAGGAUAGAAUUCAAAUCCAACAAGGAGGACUGUAAUUCCAUCAAAAAAGAAGUUGAAGCCAAUCCAACACAAGGUUGAAAACCAAUCAAGAUUGAAGAGUUUGAAUCCAACUCCAAACAAUCUCAACCUUGCGAAACUUCUCCCAAAUAAGAGUAACGAUUGUGCCACCAAUGCGCUUUAGCCCUUGCUGCGGGGAGAUAUUGAUCAAGUCCAAGGCAAUGUUGAAACUGAUCCCAGAAGAGACAACAACCUUUUUUUUUUUUUUUUUUGUUUUUUUUUUGUCAUUUUUUUUUUUUCUUUUUUUUUUUUUUAUGUCCUUUUUUUUUUCAUUUUUUCAUAUCAGCAGGGUGUUCGCAGUAACUGAUCUUCUCUUAAAACAAUUAUAUCUCCUUCAUUCAAAAAUUUCUCGAAACACAAAAUGGAAAUCGACAUCAUGUGCUUGGCGGUAUGAGCAUUGAUGGCAACAGAAUUCUUCGCUAAACAACUAGCACCGACGUCACAUUAAAACUGUACUAUGCUCUUGAGAAAUUCCCAAGUCAUUGAUAAAACCAUGUACCAGAAGAUUCUUUAAACGCUUCUGUUCACUGCCAUAUUACUAUGCUUCAGGUUGGGACAAGCAAUGUAGAUGAAGAGUAGACGCCAAUAACCGUCCACCAGCCAUAAGGCCAUAGUAAAAAACCAUAUCCAGUCGUCGAUCGCCGGUGGUCAAGAUCACCAGCCAUUAAAUCAGAAUUUCAACAGAACCAACUGAAUUAUUGACUGGCUUGUCGUUCCUCUGAAUUUCAAAACCAACAUCGACUUGUACCAUGAAUAUACCGCAGGAAUCUCAUUUCACGGCUGCCAAGUGUGAACUUUUCCUGGAUCAUGAUAUACCUGCUGCCAUGUAACAGCAGGUGAAAUUAUCCGGUCUUGUAACACACCAUAACAUACAUCAGAGCACCAACAACAUUAGCAUUAAGGGGAACACUUCGACCAUAUGCUUUCGCCUCAUCAUUGUGCAAGGAGACAUAAGAAGCAUCUUUGAAGUGAAAGAGGCAACGGCGUACAAACAGGUUUAGCUGAAACUAUAUAUGCAAAUUUCUGUAGAACUUUAUUCAAAUACUGAGUUGAGUCAACCAAAAUGUACCUUCACUCUGUCCCUCUUAAUCUCAUUCCCAGAAUUUUCUGGCUUCACCAAGAUCUUCAUUUCAAUCUGACUGAGUGGAGCGGUCAAUCUGUCAAUUUCCAACCUUGCUCUUAGAUGCGCAUCAGCAUAUCAUCCACAUAUAAGAGCAAUUAAAUCAUGGAACCGUCGUGGAGUUGCGGAAAUACACACAAUGAUCAAUGAAUCCUUAUAUAUUGUUGCUCCACCAUAAACUGAUCAAAUCGCUUAUUAUUAACCACUGUCGAGGGGAGACUUGCUUCAAGCAAUAUAAAGACGUACUAAACCGACAUGCCAAAUGUUCUUUGCAAGGUUACUUUGAACCAUCUGAUGGUUGAGCCAUGUAUAUUUCCUAUCCAAAUCACCCUGUAGAAACGGUUUUGACUCGAGUUGAGCCAACUCAGAGCAAAUGAGCAAACCAAAGCUAAUUAAAAUACGAAUAGACGAAUGCUUAACAAGGAGAAAUAAAUCAUUAAGUCUAUCCUUCUUUCUGAGCGUAGCUUUCGCCACAAUCAAGCUUGUGGAAUCUGAGUCCUGGAGUAUCUUCCUUUUGGAAAAACACAUUGCAACCAGAUUUGCUUCUUUCUUUAGGCAUUGUACCAAACUCCCAAGUCUGUUCUUGUGAAGCGACUUCAUUUAUAAUCCAUAGCAUACUUCAUUUUAGAUUUUCGUACUUUGUUAUGGAACCUUGUAAAUACACCGGAACUCCCUCAAUCACUGGAAGUGCAUAGGCCACAGUAUCACGUAUAUUCGAGCAGGUCUCGAAUCACUCUCGGUUUCUACUAGUCGCGAUAGAAUCUUGCUGAUUGUGAAGUUUGAGCCUAUUUCAAAUUGUUUGGUCUGUUAGUACAACAUCAUCGGAUUCUGUCAGAAUAUCAAAUUUCUCGGAAAAGUCUUAGUUGGCACUACUUGACUCUGAAGCUCCACCUACUGAGUAGGAUGUUCGGACUCAGAUUUCUCUUUCUCCGACAGAUGUAAACAUCCCAGACUCAUCAAAAGUAGUACAUCUCUGCUCAGAACAACUUUCUUAAAAUCGGGCCCCAAAGCUGUAUGCCUUUGUACCAGAACUAAAACCCAAAAAUAUGGCUUUCCUUGGCUCUGGAUCCAACUUGGAUUCAGUAGUCACUAUAGAAAAAUGCAGAACAUCUAAUACAUGCUAAAUAAUCACUAAUCUGAAACAGGUUUGACCAGGACCAUACAUCCAUUGGUGUUUUGUCACCAAUCACAGCUGCAGGUAAUUCUGUUUGACGAGAUGAGAGGCAUAGCUCACUGCCUCUGCCCAAAAGGCCCGUUGCUCAAUCCGAUGAGUUGUGAGAACAACAGGCAUCGAAAUUUCGUCACCAGAGUACGGUUCAUGCGUCUGCUACUCCGUUCUGCUGAGGCUGUACGACGAAGUGUGAAGUGUUUGACUUAUCCCUUCCUCUGGCAUAUCUUGAGAAAUGGAUCAUAUCUGUAUUCGCUCCAUUAUAAGAUCAAGAGCUUCUUGAUUUUUCUGCAUGUUUCUGAUUCUCCACCAUUUGCUUCCAACCAGAAAGGUAUAAGAACUUCAUCUUAUGUUUCUAGUGUAGACCCAAACUCGUCUGAGAAAGAAAUCGUCGAUAAACGUAAACAAACCAAUGUAUACCUCCCAAAGAAGAAGCCGUGUAGGUCCCAAACGUCAGUGUGAACAUAACCAGAUGCCUUUUCAGUUGAUGAAGUGCAGUGCCCAAACUUUAACACUAGUCUGCUUGCCCAACACACAAAUGCUCACACAAAUCAAUUUGUCCAGUCUUAGCUCCUUGUAGAAACUCAUUGUCGUACAAAGUUUGCAACAAAGCAUUAUCACCAGGCUGCCCCAAUCGCAUAUGCCAUAAAUCUAAAAAGUAUCUGAUCCAUCUAAUGUUGGAAAACGGCAACUACCCAUGUGACGAGGUAUCCCAUCGAGGAAAUGAAAGUAUACAAUUUCCCUUUCGCGUGCUCCUAUCAUAGAAACAAUCGCAAACUCGAAACAACUUUCAGAAUACCUCUUUCCAUAUGACCUUAUAACCUUUGAGUCUUAAGGUCCCAGAGAGGAUAAGAUUUUUCUUCAAAGUCCGGUACAUACGAACAUCAGUCAAAACUCUGAUAGUUCAUCGAACACCUUCAGUAGGAUCGUGCCUAAUCCCCAUUGUUUGCAGGCAUUGUCAUUACCCAUCAGAAAACACCCCCGUCGAACUCCUCAAGGCUCAAAAACAAAUCUCGGUAAGGAUCAGUUGAUAGGAACAUUCCCGAAUCCAGAAUCCACUCGUCAGAUGAUUAGUGGAUGUUUGCAACUGUCAACACUCAUCCAAAUCUUCAUCUUCUUUUUGUUCGGUGCCACAUUUGCUUUUGCGUUAUUUCUUUCCUUUGAUCGGACAAUAGCCAUUCCAAUGGCCUUUCCGAGGACAAUAGGCACACUUCAUCUUUGCAAGUUGGCGCCUAUCAGAUGAUUUUUCUCUGAUGUUGAGCGAGAUUUCACCUCCCUGUAGAUUUUAUGCGGGUACUGUUACACUCACCCCUUGCUUGUAAAUGAAUCUGAAACUCGAUUCCCUGUGAGCAUACGAUCUUUCUUCGUACCUCAUUAUUCAUCAAGGCAUUAGACACAUCAUUAAAAUUCAUUUCAUCGUUACCAUAUAAGAGAAGGUGGUAGUUGUCAAAUGCUCAGA